rnacentral:rRNA from 1 species
AUUCCAGCUCCAAUAGCGUAUAUUAAAGUUGUUGCGGUUAAAAAGCUCGUAGUUGGAUUUCUGUCGAGGAUGGUCGGUCCCUACGCUGUAGGAGUAUCUGAUUCAGCCUUGGCAUCCUCCUACAGAACGUACUGCUCUUCGCUGAGUGGUGCGGAAUGUAGGACUUUUACUUUGAGGAAAUUAGAGUGUUUACGGCAGGCAAACGCCUUGAAUACGUUAGCAUGGAAUAAUAACAUAGGACUUUUUGUCUAUUUUGUUGGUUUCUAGACGGAAAGUAAUGAUUAAUAGGGAUAUUUGGGGGUAUUCGUAUUAUGUGGUCAGAGGUGGAAUUCUUGGAUUCACAUACGACGAACUACUGCGAAAGCAUUUACCAAGGAUGUUUUCAUCA